AAGUCGUAACAAGGUAACCGUAGGUGAACCUGCGGUUGGAUCAUUACAAAGUUCUAGUGUAAGGGCAACCUUGCACUUUAACCCCUUGUGCAAUCGUAUUUGUUUUGGGCGUUAAAACCCAAAACACUAAACCCAGUCUUUAUAGUCUGAAUGUAUUUAAAAACAAAAACAACUUUUGACAACGGAUCUCUUGGCUCUC
rnacentral:misc_RNA from 1 species